rnacentral:misc_RNA from 1 species
CACAAUUAAAUAUGAAGCUCGGCUGAUAUAUCACCCUGUGAACAUACCACUUGUUGCCUCGGCGGAUCAGCCCGCUCCCGGUAAAACGGGACGGCCCGCCAGAGGACCCCUAAACUCUGUUUCUAUAUGUAACUUCUGAGUAAAACCAUAAAUAAAUCA